rnacentral:lncRNA from 1 species
GCCAAAUAGAGCUUUUCAUAUGACGCACCGCUGCUGUAGUGGAGAAGUACUUAAAGCAGUUCCAGUCAAGUUAGGCCCCAAGACUUUUCAUUCAACUUCAUGCAAAAUGGCUAAGACCUUUUUUUUUCUUUUCUUUUGAACAUCUUCAAAGGUUACUAGUGCAACAUGCGUCGAGGAUGCCAGGCUUCUUCCUGUUGAGCUGAGAUGGUCUGAAAACCACAUUGAAACAUGGGGAAUUGCAGCUACCACAGCUUGCAGGUUUUUUUUUUUUGCCUGUUGCAGAUCUCUCCUGGUAACAGUUGGAUGAAGGCUAUGGAUGGAGGCUGGUACAGCCUGCAUGACUGAUCCUGCUGUCCUGAUUUGCCCCGGGUUCAUCAGGGGAGGUCACUCUCUGGAACAAAGAGUCAAGAUACGUUCUCCUUGGAUCUAGGCUGGGGUGUAUCUUCAGUUAGAGUCCCCCUGAAGGUUAAGUGAGUUCUCCAGGUGAAAUCAUGCAACAGGUAAGCCUCAAGGCUUUCAUAUGUAAGGAGUCAGGAGACAAUUUUCACACUUUCAAGAUGUGCAAAGAAGCCCUACGAAGGAAGGUCCCAGGUUGUUGUGAAGAUACAAGCUGUCAUGAUCCCUUGCCAAUCACAUGAGAACUGACCUAGACAGAACAUCAACUGAAGGUUUGCUCCUUGUCUCUCCUCUGGAAAGUGAAGGUUCAGAAAGUCCCACAGCCUUUCUGUGCUCUACAUUGAAAGGAAAAUGACCUGCCUAGACAUCGUAUGAACGUUCUUGGGUCACCCCAAAGUCCUGACCUGCCUAACUGAUGUGAUAUAGGGAAGAGAGAUGUUGUUGCUGGUCAGAGGCAGUGCCUCGCUACUGCCUCCUGGAGUAGAGCGAGAGAUAAGGGGUUAUGGCAGCAAUUUAAUCAUAGUCAUAACACACUAGCCUUCGUGCAGCACGCAAAGGAAUCCGUCAUUUGCAUCAUGAGAUUUUAAGCUUGACUCAAUUCAUGUGAGUGUGGAUGCGGCUGGGCAUGUUUUUGUGAAAUGUCUAAACAUUUGCAAAACAACCAAAAACGAAAAACAAAAGCAGAUAUAAGUCUACUGAAGUCAACAG